UGGUCCAACCUAAUUCCGGUUGGCCGCCUGUGGCCUUCCAGGUUUCGCUUGUGGACCAGAGAAGCCUAGGAGCCUCGCCCCGAGGAGGAGUGAGCACUGCUUCCGCGAGCUCAUGCCAGGGGCACUUCUAGACACUC